rnacentral:misc_RNA from 1 species
AAGUCGUAACAAGGUAUCCGUAGGUGAACCUGCGGAUGGAUCAUUAAAACACGUGUUUACACACGUUACCAACCAACCCGUGCGAGGGGCCUUGCUGACACAAAAAGUUCCGACCUCGUGUCGAAACUUCAUCGUGUACAGCUUGCUCGAAAGGGCAAGUUCGUCAGCUUGUGCUCCGUUCUUUUAUUCUUUGCACACGAUGUUUUUUUUUACAAACCUUAAAACCCUUCAUUCUUUUUACUGAAUGACUAAACCUAUUUCUUUCGAAAAGGGCUGCUCUAUUAGAUCUUCGGAUCGAACGGCUGCCUCUGAUUAGAUAUGAAAACCCUGUACAACUCUUAGCAACGGAUAUCUUGGUUCUC